rnacentral:lncRNA from 1 species
CACUAAGACUAAGGAAGACUAGGAAAUGCUUCUCACAGAAGAUAGAGCUUUAGCUGAAACUUGAAGGUUGCCAAGAAAGCUUAGAGGUGGAGUUGAGAAAGGAGAGGUAGUGUUCCAAACACUGAAGACAGGGAAUAAAAAUGCUUAGGGUCAGGAGACUGAGGAUUGUGUGAGAUGAAAAGCAAGGAGACCAGUGUCAGUGAAGACAUUAUUACGAUAAAAUGAAUAUCCACCCAAAGGUGCAAUCUCAGUUGGAUGCUUGUUGGAAACAAAAAGGAGAUUCCUCAUCCAUGAGCUUUGGCAAUCAAUUACGGAAGAAAGAGAAACCUGACUUCAUAAAAUCAUUCAUUAUUGCAACCAAUGACCAUCUAGGCAAUCUUGCUGGCCCAGAUGAUGAUGCUGCUGCAGUCACCAACUCUGCAUGUCAAAGAAAACGAUCACAGGUAUCAAAGAUUGCAGUUAAGCCUUGGCUUAAACAUAUUAAGCCUUGGAGUUCUUUGUACUGAAUUUAACUCAGCUCAAGCACUUUCUUGACAUGUGAAAGUCUUAGUUUCCUUCUCUGUAAAAUGGGAAAAAUAAUGCUUGUGCUACCUUGUUCACAGGAUUAUUUUAAGAAAAACUCUUAAUGAAUUGUAGAGUUGUAUGUGAACAUAAACUAGUUUUAUUAUCAUCCCACUUCUGAUUUCAACAUUAAAACCUCACUCAUUUUGACAGUACUCAAUUGAAAUCCAGACAGACUAAAUUAAAGAUUGCCUUUAUAUUUUCCACUCCCUGAAUGUACAAUAAGA